rnacentral:tRNA from 1 species
GCGAAGGUGGCGGAAUUGGUAGACGCGCUAGCUUCAGGUGUUAGUGUUCUUACGGACGUGGGGGUUCAAGUCCCCACGUGGGGGUUCAAGUCCCCCCCCUCGCACCA